rnacentral:sRNA from 1 species
CUUUAGCCCCGAUUGCAGUGAAAAUCCUUUUACUUUUUUCUUUAAAAAGUAAAAGAGUACUUCACUAAACUUUCAUUUUAAUCGGAGUUCAGUGAACUUCGUUUGCAAUGGAAAGCGGGAAAAUCA